rnacentral:piRNA from 1 species
GCAGCAUUAUUGGAGGUGUGGCCUUGUU